UACAGAGGUCUCAAGCGUUGUUCGGAUUCAUUGGGCGUAAAGGGUGCGUAGGCGGCGCGGUAAGUCGGGUGUGAAAUCUCGGGGCUUAACUCCGAAACUGCAUUCGAUACUGCCGUGCUUUGAGGACUGGAGAGGAGACUGAAAUUUACGGUGUAGCGGUGAAAUGCGUAGAUAUCGUAAGGAAGACCAGUGGCGAAGGCGGGUCUCUGGACAGUUCCUGACGCUGAGGCACGAAGGUCAGGGGGAGCAAACGGG
rnacentral:rRNA from 1 species